rnacentral:rRNA from 1 species
AUUGAACGCUGGUGGCAUGCUUUACACAUGCAAGUCGAACGGCAACAGGGUGCUUGCACCGCUGACGAGUGGCGAACGGGUGAGUAAUGCGUCGGAACGUGCCGAGUAGUGGGGGAUAACGCAUCGAAAGGUGUGCUAAUACCGCAUACGUACUGAGGUAGAAAGUGGGGGACCUUCGGGCCUCACGCUAUUCGAGCGGCCGACGUCUGAUUAGCUAGUUGGUGAGGUAAAGGCUCACCAAGGCGACGAUCAGUAGCGGGUCUGAGAGGAUGAUCCGCCACACUGGGACUGAGACACGGCCCAGACUCCUACGGGAGGCAGCAGUGGGGAAUUUUGGACAAUGGGCGCAAGCCUGAUCCAGCCAUGCCGCGUGUCUGAAGAAGGCCUUCGGGUUGUAAAGGACUUUUGUCCGGGAGCAAAUACCCAGUGCUAAUAACGCUGGGGGCUGAGAGUACCGGAAGAAUAAGCACCGGCUAACUACGUGCCAGCCGCCGCCGUAA